rnacentral:rRNA from 1 species
GACGAACGCUGGCGGCGUGCUUAACACAUGCAAGUCGAACGGAGAUAAUACAGUGUUUACAUUGUAUUAUCUUAGUGGCGGACGGGUGAGUAACACGUGGGUAACCUGCCUUAUGGAGGGGGAUAACACAGAGAAAUCUGUGCUAAUACCGCAUAUAACUGUUUUAUCACAUGGUAGGAUAGUAAAAGGAGAAAUCCGCCAUAAGAUGGACCCGCGGCCCAUUAGCUAGUUGGUGAGGUAACGGCUCACCAAGGCGACGAUGGGUAGCCGAUCUGAGAGGAUGAACGGCCACAUUGGAACUGAGACACGGUCCAGACUCCUACGGGAGGCAGCAGUGGGGAAUAUUGCACAAUGGGGGAAACCCUGAUGCAGCAACGCCGCGUGAGCGAAGAAGGCCUUCGGGUUGUAAAGCUCUGUCUUAGCUGACGAUAAUGACGGUAAGCUAGGAGGAAGCCACGGCUAACUACGUGCCAGCCGCCGCCGUAAGAC